rnacentral:rRNA from 1 species
CAGUAGCCACGGUAAUACGUAGGUGGCAAGCGUUGUACGGAAUUAUUGGGCGUAAAGGGCUCGCAGGCGGUUUCUUAAGUCUGAUGUGAAAGCCCCCGGCUCAACCGGGGAGGGUCAUUGGAAACUGGGAAACUUGAGUGCAGAAGAGGAGAGUGGAAUUCCACGUGUAGCGGUGAAAUGCGUAGAGAUGUGGAGGAACACCAGUGGCGAAGGCGACUCUCUGGUCUGUAACUGACGCUGAGGAGCGAAAGCGUGGGGAGCGAACAGGAUUAGAUACUCCCGUAGUCCCUGUCUCUUAUAC